rnacentral:rRNA from 1 species
UGGGGAAUAUUGGACAAUGGGCGCAAGCCUGAUCCAGCCAUGCCGCGUGAGUGAUGAAGGCCUUAGGGUUGUAAAGCUCUUUCGACGGGGACGAUAAUGACGGUACCCGUAGAAGAAGCCCCGGCUAACUUCGUG